rnacentral:rRNA from 1 species
UACAGAGGGGGCGAGCGUUGUUCGGAAUUACUGGGCGUAAAGGGCGCGUAGGCGGCCCGCUAAGUCGAACGUGAAAUCCCCAGGCUCAACCUGGGAACUGCGUCCGAUACUGGCAGGCUUGAAUCCGGGAGAGGGAUGUGGAAUUCCAGGUGUAGCGGUGAAAUGCGUAGAUAUCUGGAGGAACACCGGUGGCGAAGGCGGCAUCCUGGACCAGUAUUGACGCUGAGGCGCGAAAGCCAGGGGAGCAAACGGG